GACGAACGCUGGCGGCGUGCUUAACACAUGCAAGUCGAGCGGUAAGGCCCUUUCGGGGGUACACGAGCGGCGAACGGGUGAGUAACACGUGGGUGACCUGCCCUCAGCUCUGGGAUAAGCCUGGGAGACUGGGUCUAAUACUGGAUAUGACUCCACGGUGCAUGUCGUGGGGUGGAAAGCCUUGUGCGGCUGAGGAUGGGCCCGCGGCCUAUCAGCUUGUUGGUGGGGNGAUGGCCUACCAAGGCGACGACGGGUAGCCGGCCUGAGAGGGCGACCGGCCACACUGGGACUGAGACACGGCCCAGACUCCUACGGGAGGCAGCAGUGGGGAAUCUUGCGCAAUGGGCGAAAGCCUGACGCAGCGACGCCGCGUGAGGGAUGACGGCCUCGG
rnacentral:rRNA from 1 species